CGGGCUGCCGGCCGAGAGGAGGCCCACACUGCACACGCGCAGACCGAGCAUCCGCGUCAAAAGCAGAAGAGAGCGCGCGCUCCCCACGUCCUGCGCGCCCAGCUGCCAGGCGUUCGUCCCUGCCGUGACUCCCGCCGGGCCUGGCCAGGCUGACGCGGCCUCAUCUGAAGAGCGAUGCCCCGGGAGAUCAUCACCCUGCAGCUGGGCCAGUGCGGCAACCAGAUUGGGUUCGAGUUCUGGAAGCAGCUGUGCGCCGAGCAUGGUAUCAGCCCCGAGGGCAUUGUGGAGGAGUUCGCCACCGAGGGCACUGAUCGCAAGGACGUCUUUUUCUACCAGGCGGACGAUGAACACUACAUCCCAAGGGCAGUGCUGCUGGACCUGGAGCCCAGGGUGAUCCACUCCAUCCUCAACUCCCCCUAUGCCAAACUCUACAACCCAGAGAACAUAUACCUGUCAGAGCAUGGAGGAGGAGCUGGCAACAACUGGGCCAGCGGAUUCUCCCAGGGUGAGAAAAUCCAUGAAGAUAUCUUUGACAUCAUAGACCGAGAAGCAGAUGGAAGUGACAGCCUAGAGGGCUUUGUGCUGUGUCAUUCCAUCGCUGGGGGGACCGGUUCUGGCCUGGGCUCCUACCUCUUGGAGCGAUUGAAUGACAGGUACCCCAAGAAGCUGGUACAGACAUACUCAGUGUUUCCCAACCAGGAUGAAAUGAGCGAUGUGGUGGUCCAGCCCUACAACUCACUGCUCACACUCAAGAGGCUGACCCAGAACGCCGACUGUGUGGUGGUGCUGGACAACACAGCCCUGAACCGGAUCGCCACAGACCGCCUGCACAUCCAGAAUCCCUCGUUCUCCCAGAUCAACCAGCUGGUGUCCACCAUCAUGUCAGCCAGCACCACCACCCUGCGCUACCCCGGCUACAUGAACAACGACCUCAUCGGCCUCAUCGCCUCGCUCAUUCCCACGCCACGGCUCCACUUCCUCAUGACUGGUUACACCCCCCUCACCACGGACCAGUCGGUGGCCAGCGUGAGAAAGACCACGGUCCUGGAUGUCAUGAGGCGACUGCUGCAGCCCAAGAACGUGAUGGUGUCCACAGGCCGGGAUCGCCAGACCAACCACUGCUACAUCGCCAUCCUCAACAUCAUCCAGGGGGAGGUGGACCCCACCCAGGUCCACAAGAGCCUGCAGAGGAUCCGGGAACGGAAGCUGGCCAACUUCAUCCCCUGGGGCCCCGCCAGCAUCCAGGUGGCCCUGUCCAGGAAGUCGCCCUACCUGCCUUCUGCCCACAGGGUCAGUGGGCUCAUGAUGGCCAACCACACCAGCAUCUCCUCGAUUUUUAUCUUUUUCAGCUCUUUGAAAGUUCCUGCCAGCAGUACGACAAGCUGCGGAAGCGGGAGGCCUUCCUGGAGCAGUUCCGGAAGGAGGACAUCUUUAAGGAUAACUUUGACGAGCUGGACAGGUCCAGGGAGGUCGUACAGGAGCUGAUUGAUGAGUACCAUGCGGCCACUCGACCAGACUACAUCUCCUGGGGCACCCAGGAGCAGUGAGUCCUCCGUACUGCACCCUCUGGACAGUCCUGCCCGAGGGUGGAUCUACAUUACCCAUAUUGCCCCAGCCUCCUCCACUCAGGGCAGAGGCUGUGGAGGCUGCUAAAAGAAGGCCUGCAGCAUUCUGAGCAAGUCAAGAAAACCAAGACUCUGGAUUCCCAGGCCCAAGGCAUUUAGAUCCUCAGGAGUUAACCCAAUUCAGCUUGAUCUGAUAAAGCAGUAACAGAGCUCAGGAGUAAAGCUGAGCCCAUCCUGAUCAAUGCAUUGUCUGUGCCAGAGAAGUUCUUGGGUCUGAUCCUGCUCCAGGCUUCUUCUGUUCCAGGCCCAAAGCAGUAGGCACAUUAAAGAUGGUCCCAACUAAGACCCAGAAGCUGGACACCAGGGUAGGACUGGGUAGUGCCAGUCCUGGUGACUCACUGUCCUUGGGCCUCAGGGACGCCAAGAGGCCACCCCUAUGCCACUCAAUGGAAGAAGGAUGAGUAAUUGCCAGCUUCCAAAACUGCCCUCUUGCCUGCCCCACCCACUACCCUAGGGCAGCAUACUGGCCACGAGGAGGUUAAAUCUAGAAGGUCAAGGAGGGUGGAGCCCUGCGGUGUUCAGACUCCUCUCAGUGCUGGUAAAAGCCUGGGAGUGUGGGCGUCCCUGGGGGUGGAGCUCUGAGCUCUGGGGCUCCAACUUGUCCCACUGACAACACUCCCACAGGAAGGGUUUGUGUAAAUAAGGAUUUUUUUUUUUUUUUUUGCUUCUCUUCUACAAAUAAAUUAAGAAACAAACUAGAAAA